UACGUAGGAUGCAAGCGUUAUCCGGAUUUACUGGGUGUAAAGGGAGCGCAGGCGGGACUGCAAGUUGGAUGUGAAAUACCGUGGCUUAACCACGGAACUGCAUUCAAAACUGUAGUGCUUGAGUGAAGUAGAGGCAAGCGGAAUUCCGAGUGUAGCGGUGAAAUGCGUAGAUAUUCGGAGGAACACCAGUGGCGAAGGCGGCUUGCUGGGCUUUAACUGACGCUGAGGCUCGAAAGUGUGGGGAGCAAACAGG
rnacentral:rRNA from 1 species